rnacentral:rRNA from 1 species
GAUAAACGCUGGCGGCGUGCCUUACGCAUGCAAGUCGAACGGUGUCUUUCGGGGCACAGUGGCGGACGGGUGAGUAACACGUACGUGACCUGACUCUGAGUGGGGGAUACCCGCCCGAAAGGGUGGCUAAUACCGCAUGAGCUUGUCCGGGGACGCUGGGCAAGGGAAGGGCCUUCGGGCCCGCUGAGAGAGGGGCGUGCGGCCGAUUAGCUAGUUGGUGGGGUAAGGGCCUACCAAGGCAGUGAUCGGUAGCUGGGCUGAGAGGCCGGACAGCCAC